rnacentral:lncRNA from 1 species
UAAAAUGUUUUAAUAAACUUUUAUUAUUUUAUUAUUGUUAAAACUUAGGUUUUGUUUGGUUCGGGGUUAAGUAAGAACUAAUUAUUACAGGGAUAGGAUUAAGUUCAGUGUUAAUGUGGGGUUAGAAUAAUUUUGUGUUUGGUUGAGAAUUAUUACAGGGAUAGGUUUAGUCCAGUAUAAGUAAAAUAGUGUUUGGUUGGAGUAGCUGGGAUAAGGAGGAUAGUGGGUUAUUAUAAAUAGAAAAUAAUGAUUUUGCCCUAAUUUUUAUAUUUGAAUUUAAAUUUAAAAUUUAAAUAAUUAAAAAUAAUAAUUUAAAAUUUAAAAUUUAAAAAUAUUUUUUUAAAUCUCAAAUUUAAAAUUUAAAGGUACAAAUAUAAAAUGUCAAAUUUAAAAUUUUCUAUUUAUUAAAAAUAAAAAUUUAAAAUUCAAAAUUCAAAAUUAAAAUCUAUAUUUUAAAAUCUUAAAUUAAAAAAUUUAAAGUUACAAAUAUAAAAUAUCAAAUUUAAAAUUUAAAUAAUUAAAAAUAAUAAUUUUAAAUUUUAAAUUUUAAAAAAUAUUAAAAUUUAAAUAUAGACAUUUUUAAAAUUAAAAUUUAUAUUUAUAUUAAAAAAUUAAAUAGGGUCCCCAUC